AGAUCUAUGAAUUGAAAGACCUCGAUCCAGGCCUGAUCUGGUUGGGUACCAGAUCUUGGAUUUUUUAGAGGUGAUCUUAGAUGCGUUCUUCAUCUGCAACGAAAGGCUGACAAAGAAGACAGCAACCAGGCUGAUUUCGUCAAGGACCUUCGAUCGAGUCCAGAAGUCUUCAGAUUUGUUCGUUGCUGGUUCCGCUGCACC
rnacentral:lncRNA from 1 species